UAUUUGCCUGUUUUCUGAGCUUGACUUUCUCAUCUGCUAAAUGGCAGUUCCACCUGCUAUGUGUUCUCCAGGCAUUUUAUGUGUACCAUCUCCUUAAGCUUCAUGAUAACCUCAUGGGAUGUCUUUUUGCUGAGUCACCUCAACAGGGACUGACCCUGUGUCUCUUUCUCCUGAGUUCAGGGGAGGGUGGGCUGGGAGUGAUAUUCUCUUGGGAGCUGGAUAGUGAGGCAGGGGGUGUUUUGCAGCACACAAAUCUUUCCCGGUUGUUCAGCCGAAGACCAGUGCAUGCGUUGCCGUGAAGGGAUUUUGCAGAUAUAAUUAAAGUCCCUGAUCAGUUGACUUCCUGCUAAUCAGAGGGGAGGUUACUUGGGCGGCCUGAUUUUAUCAGUUGCAAGGCGUUUAUUGAAACGGGCUCAGAGAUGCCGACCAGCUGCUUGGUGUCUGGUGCUCUCCUUUCCCCUGGACCAUCCUUCUACACGGCUGCCUGCAGAUGGACAGCCAGCGUCAGCCUUUGUCCGUGGGCUUCCAGCCCACUGGCACCUUUCCCAACUGUUUCCCUGGGAACUUCACUCACGCUUAGCCCAUGCCCACAAUGACGUCAGCCAGUUCCUACGACGAAUCCCUUUAUGCUCAACCUUGACUCUUAUGCCCCCUAAGAUGGAUGAUGCUUUGAACACUAUUAUGAAUACAGCGAAGCUGGAAGAGCUCAUCAUGUUACCCUAUGCUUUGCGGUUAAAUCCCAAAGUCUGAAGUUGGAAACCUUAGGCUUUAUUCCCCAGGGGUGAUGGGGGCUGCCAAACUGUCCUGAAGCGAUCCUAGAAGAUCAAAUCAGCAAAGAGCCCAGAUCCUUGAAGGCAGGCAUCCUAUUCUGGUGGUUCUGCCACACAGUGAGGUUUGUUCUUGAAUGAAUGACUAAAUGCAAGGUAUAAAGCGCUGAUCAUGUGUAGGCGUAAUUCUUACCAAUAACAACAUUUCAGAUCGCUUGAGACCUUUUGAGAUCACCCUCAGUCACGCACUCUUGAUGGGUGAGAGACUCUCCUGUCUCGUCCCCACUGUUUUCUUUAAGUCAGGAAUUUGGGAAGUAAGAUUCCCAGUCUUGUCUCAGCCUGGCCCCUCGCUUUGUUUUCUUGGCCAUUCUAUGCAAGCACGCUGACUCAGGUUCCAAAAAUAUAAACAGCAAGCCCAACGACACAUGCUCUCUGUGUCAGAGCACAUCACCUAGGAGGUUAUCUGAGUGUCUGGAUGCCUGUCAUGGGUUUUGAGUGGUCACGGUGGACAUGGCUCCAUAUGUGGCACCAAGAGAGACCAAAGGAGGCUGUGGUUCAUGCCCUUGAGGAAUUUACAGUCAGGGUGAGACCGGACAGCAAACCUGAGAUGAACAGAGAAGUAAGAUCAGAGCCAAGGGCAUAUCCUUUCUGCGUAAGUACAGAUUGCUUUGCGCACCUUCAGUGGAGCCGCUGGGUUUUGGGAGGUGCAUAUGGUGCAUCUGCUUUUACGAAGACAAGGAUUUUGCUUUUAAAGUAACCUCUGGAUUUCCAGUUCCUAAGGCAAUGCCUGGCAGAUCCUAAGUGGUCCACAGAUCCUUGUUGAAAAUGAUAAAGCUUGGGACUUGUUUUCACAUGGAGAGAAGAGCGUGAGUCUAUUAGCGAGAAGGGCAGGGAUCACUCCAGACAGAGUGGGGUGACGAAACGUGCUACCUCGUCAGCUGUCCUUGAACCUCGGUGCUGACAUCUCCCUGCUGUACGAUAUUGGAUUUCUCAGGCUGUGUUCAAAGUCAUAUUCCGAUUCUGAAAUAUGUCUCUUCCUAAAGAAAGAGAAUGCUAGCCUCAGGCUGGGACGUUCAAGCUACUUUACCAAAGAGGUUUCCUGAAGUGUAACAUGAAUUUCUCAUCGAACUCUAAAAACAGACACAAUGGCCAGGCCUGACCUCAGGGAUUCUUUCGGAGUCCUCUUUCCCAGGCUGAUAGUUCCUCACUGGGGCAUAAUUACGGAGGGAUAUUUUCGAGCCCUUUCUAGGGAAUUUGAGAUCAUCAGGGAUUUGAAAGCAGCCCUCAGGGCAGAGAGAGGAGUGAGGCACAGGGUGCCCUUGGUAGGAGAUUUCUGUGGCAAGUUGCUUCAUCGAUUCCUUCCAAAUGAAGCAUCUCUCCGCAGACUCCAGGGUCAUGGCCCAGGCCUGGGAGAGGGUCAGGGCCCAGCAGCACGAGGCAGGGCUGCUUGUUGGGGCAGAACACUUUGGGGUUUUUAUUUCAUUUCGUUUUGACAGCCAGAUCCAUCUCACAACCUUCCUGCUCGGUGUUUUCAUUCCCCGUCUGAGGGCGUUAAUUAAAGCCUCCCUCUCACCUUAUUCACAGAGAUUCUGCCUGAAAGUUCAGAGCUGUCAGCAGAAACGUGUCAUCACGCCGUUGCCAGCAGGAUCCUAGGAAAAUACCAAUAAGCACAUUAAACAAAAGAGGAGUUAAGAGGCAAUAAGACAAAUUUCCCAGAUAUGGGCCAUUUCACUGCAAAUCCACUUUAAUAUCUUUCAGGUUACACUUGACUUGUGCAUAUAAAGCAUGUGGCAACAAGCACUGAAAUCUAAUAACUCAGAGGGCAAGAAUUAAAUGUGACAACGUUUGCAUGAUUGAAAAUGGAAAAGAAAUCAAUUGCUUGUUCUGCUGGGUUAAGAGAGUAAACUGGGUUACCAAAACCUUAAUUUAGUCAGGAAGACACAUCUUUUGUUAAGAAAGGAAAUGCCUUUGUUUGUCAAUUACCUGUGAAGGAUCAGAGAGGAAGACACAGGGAAAGAUGAACGCAGGUGGAGGCCUGGCUCAGAAGCUGCAAAGGAAGCAGCCGGUGGUUCCAAGCAAGCUCUUUAACCUUUUCUAUGGCUCAAAUUAUCCAUACUUUGAAAUGGCAAACCUAUUAGUAUCCUCAAAAGCAUUUACCGAGUGUCCAACUUUGCCUGGUGCUGGGAUGUGAAAAAGGAAGAAAAAAGAUGAGGAAUUUCCGGAAUAUGCACUAAAAAAGACGCACGUGUUAAAAAAAACAAGGGGGGAACGUUCCCACUGUGGCUCAGCAGUAAUGAACCUGACCGGCAUCCACGAGGACUUGGGUUUGAUCCCUGGCUUCGAUCAGUAGGUUGGGGAUCCGGUGUUGCCGUGAGCUGUGGUGUUGAAGAUGUGGCUUGGACCCCGAACUGCUGUGGCUGCGGCGUAGGCCGCCAGCUGCAGCUCUGAUUCUACCCCUAGCCCGGGAGCGUCCAUAUGCUUCAGUUUCAGCCUUAAAAAAAGAAAAAAAAAGAUGCAAGUGCGACGGAGGUCAGUAUACGUCUUACAAUAGUUCCACGGGUGUGAGUCAAUGAGGAAAUCACUUCGUUUUCUUUAAGCAUUACGUACAGAGAAAAUGGAUACACACGUUGUAUUUGUAUAUUGUCUACAUAUAUUGAACCUAGGACCAUUUUCACUUCAUUCUGAAUUACUUGGUAAAGGUAUCAAGUGGCUAAUGAGAAAAAUGACAGCAACAACAGAGAUUGACCGAUUGCCUUCUGCAUGGCCACUGCUAUAGGCCCUGCUGGUUGGUUGCCUUAUUUAAUUCCCCAGUGGCCCUAGGAGGGAGGCUUCAUCCAUUGCUCUUUAUAGACAAGCAGCUAAAGUGCAGAGAGACUUCAUAGUGCGGCAAAUUCCACGAAGCAGAAGGCAGUUCAAAACAGGGGUGGCCGAUCCACAGCUUGCACUCUGCCUACCCCCCAUCUUGUCUCCUGGGAAAGGGGGUUCCACAGGGUUGUCAACAACCAAGAAGCAGAUGACCGGUCCCUAAGGACGAAGCUGCGAGGGGACCUUGCAAAUCUCACUUGGACGCUGGCUGACCUCAAGGAGAACUGAAAUCCCCACCAGUGUUAGCUGUUUACUCCAGUUUGGCCACCUUUUCACUUGUUCCAGAGUCAGAACAGAAGGGCCAAGCCCGUGACUUCAAUGAAAAAAAUCAACGAAGCAGGAGUUCCUGUUGUGGUGCAUGGGUUAACAAUCUGACU
rnacentral:lncRNA from 1 species